AGGGCACCACCAGGAGUGGAGCCUGCGGCUUAAUUUGACUCAACACGGGAAAACUCACCCGGCCCGGACACUGGAAGGAUUGACAGAUUGAGAGCUCUUUCUUGAUUCAGUGGGUGGUGGUGCAUGGCCGUUCUUAGUUGGUGGAGUGAUUUGUCUGGUUAAUUCCGAUAACGAACGAGACUCUAGCCUACUAAAUAGAUCGUCGGCUUACAAACGCCGGCGAGACUUCUUAGAGGGACAGGCGGUGAUUCAACCGCACGAAACAGAGCAAUAACAGGUCUGUGAUGCCCUUAGAUGUCCGGGGCCGCACGCGCGCUACACUGAAGUGAUCAGCGUGCUUUUUCAACCUACUCUGUCAAGAGUGGGGAACCCAAUGAACCUUCUUCGCGAUUGGGAUAGGGGAUUGUAAUUAUUCCCCUUGAACGAGGAAUUCCCAGUAAGCGCGAGUCAUAAGCUCGCGUUGAUUACGUCCCUGCCCUUUGUACACACCGCCCGUCGCUACUACCGAUUGAAAUGUUU
rnacentral:rRNA from 1 species